rnacentral:rRNA from 1 species
UAUGGUGGCCAUACCGGAAGGGAAACACCCGGUCCCAUACCGAACCCGGAAGUUAAGCCUUCCAAGGCCGAUGGUACUGCAAGCGGGAGCUUGUGGGAGAGUAGGACGCCGCCACAA